ensembl:lincRNA
AAGGAGUGUGGUCCACUGGAGGACUCCCUACAUUCUUCCUCCAUUACCGCACUGCCUCCGGUGGCUGCUGGGAUACCGGAGGACUCGGGUCCCGGCUCGACUCAGUCUUCCAGCCGCCCGGGGAAUACCUCUAGUUCUUCCCGGCCGCCGCCGCCUCCGCCCCGCCGCUUCCUCCUCCGCCUGCCGGCCUCCUUCGCCCCGCCGCGUCCGCGCAGCGCGUCCGGCCCGCCCGCAGGCCAGCUUCUCUCGGGAGCCCCCACCCAGGCGCAUGGCUCCAUGAAGCAAGAGGAGGAGGCAGAGCGCGAGAGGUCACGUCCGCCCCAGCCGCGUCUGGGCCAGGAGAAAAGAAACUUAAAUCCUCAGUGUGACACAACUCAGUCCUUCUACUGCAGCAGCUCUUUUAUAAAAGCCUCCCAAAGCUCCAAGAAGGAACAAAGAAUGUGACCCAGUAAGCUCACACCAUAAGUCUAUAUUGCAGAAACCUUUGUUCAACAAAACUGCAGAUGCUCUGUUGAAUCCACUGGAGAUUGUCCUGAUACUAAGGACAAGUAUGUAAGUUAAUGAUUUUAUUAAUUUUAACAUUUUAAAAUGUUUUCCUUUGGGGAAUUCCAAUUUAUAUAUCAAUAUUCAGGUAAUAUUUGCUGAAAACACAAACAGAGUCAAAAUGAUCUGCAUUCACAUUCUCAUUUUCUAUUAUAACAUAGAGACAACUACUUUAUUAUCUUUUUAGAAACUUUUGCAACUACUUUAGUUUCUUCCUAAUUUUAUAAAUUAAUCUAUCUCAAAAAACUUGGCCCAAAAGACUUAGUAAUAGCUGUCAACUUCAGAAAAACUAAAACUUUAAAGAUGACUUUUUGAAGGAAAAUGAAAUACAGAAAUAAUGUAUCUCAUUUGCACUUAAUUAAAAAUAAUAUGAAUUGUCACUAUUUCCUAUGAAAACAUCUCAUGCCAAUUUCUUUUAUUAAGCUUGGAUUUAAAAGAUAAUUUAGUUGAAACUGGUAGAAUCUUAGUAAAAUUAUAACAAUAAGAAAUUUUUAUAUUAUACAUAUAAUAUAGAAUAAUCAUAUUAAAUUCCACUUGUUAGUCUAUUCUGAUUCUUUAGCAGGUUGAUUCAUAAUUUGCCAACUUGGGUCAGAAAUAUUUUCUAUUCUUAGCUUUUGCUGUCAGCAGAGAUAAUAAUAAUAUAGAACCUGAACAACAAAGGAUUGUGUAUUGUUUCAAUUUAAUUAAAGUUGAUUCUCUGCUUUAAGAGAGACUCACAUUUUAUAUUUUAUUUUUUUAUUAAAAAGAGAAUGUAGAUAUUUGCUUUUCCAAAUUUGCCAUAAAUAAGAAAAACAUAUUUUUUCUUAAUUACACCCUUGCUAAGUCACGCUAGCUGCCGGACCUUGGACAAAAUUCUUAACCUCUUUGUGUCUCAUUUUCAAUAACUGUGAAUUAAAGAUGAUUAUUGUAGUAUAUUUCUCAAGGGAUUAUUGUGGGAAUUAAAUAAAAUAAUCCUCUAAAAUGCUUAGUACAGAUUCUGGAACAUCAUAAGCAGAAAAAAUUAAUAACUAUUUUUUUAACUAUAUUAUAUGACAUACUUUUUCUUUAUGAUCUUCAGGGGAAUUUCUACUUAUCUUUAAAACAUAUAUAGAUAUUGAUCUGUGGAGAAAUAUAUCUCUGUUAUUUCAAGGUCUGUGGAUUACAUAAUGGUCAACUCUGAUUUACUGAUUGAUUCAAAAAAUUUUAAAGCAAAACUAAAAAUAUUGCAGCUAUGUUGGUUUUAACCAUUCUAAACUCUGAUGAAAUUUGCUUUCUGUUUGGUUUGUGACUAGGAAGCUAAACAUUAUUUGUUAGUAAUGAAAAUUUCUGGUGUCUAAAAAAAUUUAAGAGGAAAACCAUUAGAUUCUAUUACAAUUAAAUCUGUUAAGAUUUAAUUGCAAAUAUGUAGAUAGUGCAAAUAUGUCUUAGGGUACAAUUUUUGUUCUCAUUAAGUUACCCAUUUUACAUUUUGAGAACACUAAUAGAUGAAAUACUUGUCAAAGAGAAGAUCUAAGAUGGUUUA